rnacentral:rRNA from 1 species
UAAGGAAUAUUGGUCAAUGGAGGAAACUCUGAACCAGCCAUCCCGCGUGAAGGAUGAAGGGGCUCUGCCUUGUAAACUUCUUUUGUCUGGGGCGAAAAAGCUCGAUUUAUCGAGAACUGACGGUACCAGAAGAAUAAGCACCGGCUAACUCCGUGCCAGCAGCCGCGGUAAUACGGAGGGUGCAAGCGUUAUCCGGAAUCACUGGGUUUAAAGGGUGCGUAGGCGGCUUAGUAAGUCAGUGGUGAAAGGCUGUGGCUUAACCAUGGAAUUGCCAUUGAUACUGCUGAGCUUGAAUAAGGUUGAGGUUGGCGGAAUGUGACAUGUAGCGGUGAAAUGCUUAGAUAUGUCAUGGAACACCGAUUGCGAAGGCAGCUGACUGGACCUGCAUUGACGCUGAGGCACGAAAGCGUGGGGAGCGAA